GUGAAUCAUCAAAUUUUUGAACGCAAAUUGCACUCUCUGGUAUUCCGGAAAGUAUGCCUGUUUGAGGGUCAGUUAAAUUAAAAUUGGUGUUGGUGCCGCCUUUUGUGGUUACCCGUCGGAAUUGAGUUGUCCUAGCUUUGGUUUAGUGACCUAAAAUUUUGCCUGAAUUUUGUCGGUCUUUAAUUAGUUUAUGUACGUACGUGAUAUAGAACGAAUACUAGGUUCGGUCAUCCUCAUGAUCCGCGCCUAUAAUUUCUCAUCAAAAGAACCUCGAUUCGGGUAGAAUAACCGUCGAA
rnacentral:misc_RNA from 1 species